ACGAGUUUUAAUUGUUAGGUUAGAGUUGAGCUAGCUGUUAAUACUAAUUAAUAUGUGCUUACUCUAAUCGAAACAAGUCCACUCCUUACCUUAACACCUUGUGAACUUAUUCAUUACAAACAUUAUUAUUUGUUAUUGGGAACGUUUGAUUAUUAAAAAGUUAAUA
rnacentral:misc_RNA from 1 species